rnacentral:rRNA from 1 species
GAUGAACGCUGGCGGCGUGCCUAAUACAUGCAAGUCGAGCGAACAGACGAGGAGCUUGCUCCUUUGACGUUAGCGGCGGACGGGUGAGUAACACGUAGGUAACCUACCUAUAAGACUGGGAUAACUUCGGGAAACCGGAGCUAAUACCGGAUAAUAUUUCGAACCGCAUGGUUCGAUAGUGAAAGAUGGCUUUGCUAUCACUUAUAGAUGGACCUGCGCCGUAUUAGCUAGUUGGUAAGGUAACGGCUUACCAAGGCAACGAUUCGUAGCCGACCUGAGAGGGUGAUAGGCCACACUGGAACUGAGACACGGUCCAGACUCCUACGGGAGGCAGCAGUAGGGAAUCGUCCGCAAUGGGCGAAAGCCUGACGGAGCAACGCCGCGUGAGAGAUGAAGGUCUUCGGAUCGUAAUACUCUGUUAUUAGGGAAGAACAAACGUGUAAGUAACUGUGCACGUCGUGACGGUACCUAAUCAGAAAGCCACGGCUAACUACGUG